rnacentral:rRNA from 1 species
UACGUAGGGUGCGAGCGUUGUCCGGAAUUAUUGGGCGUAAAGGGCUCGUAGGCGGUUUGUCGCGUCGGGAGUGAAAACACUGGGCUUAACUCAGUGCUUGCUUCCGAUACGGGCAGACUAGAGGUAUUCAGGGGAGAACGGAAUUCCUGGUGUAGCGGUGAAAUGCGCAGAUAUCAGGAAGAACACCAAUGGCGAAGGCAGCUCUCUGGGACGGUACUGACGCUGAGACGCGAAAGCGUGGGGAGCGAACAGG